AUGAAUGAGACUCUUCAACUUCACUCUUCAUUAACUCUCAGACGCGGCGGCUACCUUCCUCAUCACAUCCGGUCUCUCAACAACGUCAAAGUCACAGCGCCGCCGCCAUGGUUCACUCAGCCUUCUCUCUUCUUCAUCAUCUGCUUCGUCUUUUCACCUUUCUUUCAUCGUGAAUCAAUCGUCUAUCUCAAUAUGCUUUGGUUUCGAUUCAUCCUUCGUCGUCAUGGCCGGCUUUGA